GGGCGAAUAGCUCAGUGGGAGAGCGUCGCCUUUACACGGCGAGGGUCACAGGUUCGAAACCUGUUUCGCCCACCA
rnacentral:tRNA from 1 species